GCGGGUAUAGCUCAGUGGUAGAGCGGCACCUUGCCAAGGUGCAUGUCGCGCGUUCGAAUCGCGUUACCCGCUCCA
rnacentral:tRNA from 1 species